rnacentral:pre_miRNA from 1 species
CUAGUACUCCCUCCGUCCCAAUAUUCUUGUCUUAGAUUUGUCUAAAUAUAAAUGUAUCUAGUCAUGUUUUAGUAUUUAGGUACAUUUAUUUUUCGACAAACCUAAGACAAGAUUUUUGAGAUGAAGGGAGUAUUUU